CCUACGGGAGUCAGCAGUGAGGAAUAUUGGUCAAUGGACGAGAGUCUGAACCAGCCAAGUAGCGUGAAGGAUGACUGCCCUAUGGGUUGUAAACUUCUUUUAUACAGGAAUAAAACGAGGCACGUGUGCCUUUUUGCAUGUACUUUAUGAAUAAGGAUCGGCUAACUCCGUGCCAGCAGCCGCGGUCAUACGGAGGAUCCGAGCGUUAUCCGGAUUUCUUGGGUUUAAAGGGAGCGUAGAUGGGUUGUUAAGUCAGUUGUGAAAGUUUGCGGCUCAACCGUAAAAUUGCAAUUGAUACUGGCAGUCUUGAGUACAGUUGAGGUAGGCGGAAUUCGUGGUGUAGCGGUGAAAUGCUUAGAUAUCACGAAGAACCCCGAUUGCGAAGGCAGCUUACUAAACUGUGACUGACAUUGAUGCUCGAAAGUGUGGGUAUCAAACAGGAUUAGAUACCCGGGUAGUC
rnacentral:rRNA from 1 species